rnacentral:rRNA from 1 species
GACGAACGCUGGCGGCGUGCUUAACACAUGCAAGUCGAACGGAAAGGCCCUGCUUUUGUGGGGUGCUCGAGUGGCGAACGGGUGAGUAACACGUGAGUAACCUGCCCUUGACUUUGGGAUAACUUCAGGAAACUGGGGCUAUUCCGGGUACGGGGCUCUGGUUCACGGGUGGGGGUGGGAAGGUUCGGCGGUUGGGGAUGGACUCGCGGCUUAUCAGCUUGUUGGUGGGGUAGUGGCUUACCAAGGCUUUGACGGGUAGCCGGCCUGAGAGGGUGACCGGCCACAUUGGGACUGAGAUACGGCCCAGACUCCUACGGGAGGCAGCAGUGGGGAAUAUUGCACAAUGGGCGGAAGCCUGAUGCAGCAACGCCGCGUGCGGGAUGACGGCCUUCGGGUUGUAAACCGCUUUCGCCUGUGACGAAGCGUGAGUGACGGUAAUGGGUAAAGAAGCACCGGCUAACUACGUG